GUUGUAUGGUUAAGUGACUAAGCGUACACGGUGGAUGCCUUGGCAGUCAGAGGCGAUGAAGGACGUAGUAACUUGCGAUAAGCCCAGAUUAGGUAGUAACAACCAUUUGAGUCUGGGAUUUCCGAAUGGGGAAACCCACUUACAUAAGUAAGUAUCCUUACAUGAAUACAUAGGGUAAGGAGGCGAACCGGGGGAACUGAAACAUCUAAGUACCCCGAGGAAAAGAAAUCAACCGAGAUUCCGAAAGUAGCGGCGAGCGAAAUUGGACUAGCCCUUAAGCUUUACACGCGUUAGACGAACGGUCUGGAAAGUCCGACGAUACAGGGUGAUAGUCCCGUAGUUGACGACGUGUGUUCAGUGAAAUCGAGUAGGGCGGGACACGUGAUAUCCUGUCUGAAUAUGGGGGGACCAUCCUCCAAGGCUAAAUACUACUGACUGACCGAUAGUGAACCAGUACCGUGAGGGAAAGGCGAAAAGAACCCCUGUGAGGGGAGUGAAAUAGAACCUGAAACCGUGUACGUACAAGCAGUAGGAGCACCUUCGUGGUGUGACUGCGUACCUUUUGUAUAAUGGGUCAGCGACUUAUAUUCAGUGGCAAGGUUAACCAUCUAGGGGAGCCGUAGGGAAACCGAGUCUUAACUGGGCGUUCAGUCUCUGGAUAUAGACCCGAAACCAGGUGAUCUAGCCAUGGGCAGGUUGAAGGUUGAGUAACAUCAACUGGAGGACCGAACCGACUAAUGUUGAAAAAUUAGCGGAUGACUUGUGGCUAGGGGUGAAAGGCCAAUCAAACCUGGAGAUAGCUGGUUCUCCCCGAAAGCUAUUUAGGUAGCGCCUCGGACGAAUACUACUGGGGGUAGAGCACUGUUAAGGCUAGGGGGUCAUCCCGACUUACCAACCCUUUGCAAACUCCGAAUACCAGUAAGUACUAUCCGGGAGACACACGGCGGGUGCUAACGUCCGUCGUGGAGAGGGAAACAACCCAGACCGCCAGCUAAGGUCCCAAAUUACUACUAAGUGGGAAACGAUGUGGGAAGGCUCAGACAGCCAGGAUGUUGGCUUAGAAGCAGCCAUCAUUUAAAGAAAGCGUAAUAGCUCACUGGUCGAGUCGGCCUGCGCGGAAGAUGUAACGGGGCUAAGUAGUAAACCGAAGCUGCGGCAAUAUACUUUUGUAUAUUGGGUAGGGGAGCGUUCUGUAAGCGGUUGAAGGUGUGUGGUAACGCAUGCUGGACGUAUCAGAAGUGCGAAUGCUGACAUGAGUAACGAUAAAGGGGGUGAAAAACCUCCUCGCCGGAAGACCAAGGGUUCCUGUCCAACGUUAAUCGGGGCAGGGUAAGUCGACCCCUAAGGCGAGGCCGAAAGGCGUAGUCGAUGGGAAACGGGUUAAUAUUCCCGUACUUCUUACAAUUGCGAUGGGGGGACGGAGAAGGCUAGGUGGGCCUGGCGACGGUUGUCCAGGUUCAAGUGCGUAGGCUUAAGAGUUAGGUAAAUCCGGCUCUUUUUAAGGCUGAGACACGACGUCGAGCACCUACGGGUGUGAAGUCAUUGAUGCCAUGCUUCCAGGAAAAGCCUCUAAGCUUCAGAUUGUAAGGAAUCGUACCCCAAACCGACACAGGUGGUCGGGUAGAGAAUACCAAGGCGCUUGAGAGAACUCGGGUGAAGGAACUAGGCAAAAUGGUACCGUAACUUCGGGAGAAGGUACGCUCUUGAUGGUGAAGUCCCUUGCGGAUGGAGCUGACGAGAGUCGCAGAUACCAGGUGGCUGCAACUGUUUAUUAAAAACACAGCACUGUGCAAAAUCGUAAGAUGACGUAUACGGUGUGACGCCUGCCCGGUGCCGGAAGGUUAAUUGAUGGGGUUAGACUUCGGUCGAAGCUCUUGAUCGAAGCCCCGGUAAACGGCGGCCGUAACUAUAACGGUCCUAAGGUAGCGAAAUUCCUUGUCGGGUAAGUUCCGACCUGCACGAAUGGCGUAAUGAUGGCCACGCUGUCUCCACCCGAGACUCAGUGAAAUUGAAAUCGCUGUGAAGAUGCAGUGUACCCGCGGCUAGACGGAAAGACCCCGUGAACCUUUACUACAGCUUGGCACUGAACAUUGACCCUACAUGUGUAGGAUAGGUGGGAGGCUUUGAAGCACGUACGCCAGUAUGUGUGGAGCCGUCCUUGAAAUACCACCCUUGUAGUGUUGAUGUUCUAACGUCGACCCCUUAUCGGGGUUGCGGACAGUGCCUGGUGGGUAGUUUGACUGGGGCGGUCUCCUCCCAAAGAGUAACGGAGGAGCACGAAGGUGGGCUAAUCACGGUUGGACAUCGUGAGGUUAGUGCAAUGGCAUAAGCCCGCUUGACUGCGAGAAUGACAAUUCGAGCAGGUGCGAAAGCAGGUCAUAGUGAUCCGGUGGUUCUGAAUGGAAGGGCCAUCGCUCAACGGAUAAAAGGUACUCCGGGGAUAACAGGCUGAUACCGCCCAAGAGUUCAUAUCGACGGCGGUGUUUGGCACCUCGAUGUCGGCUCAUCACAUCCUGGGGCUGAAGUCGGUCCCAAGGGUAUGGCUGUUCGCCAUUUAAAGUGGUACGCGAGCUGGGUUUAGAACGUCGUGAGACAGUUCGGUCCCUAUCUGCCGUGGGCGUUGGAAGAUUGAAGGGGGCUGCUCCUAGUACGAGAGGACCGGAGUGGACGAACCUCUGGUGUUCGGGUUGUGUCGCCAGACGCAUUGCCCGGUAGCUAAGUUCGGAAUCGAUAACCGCUGAAAGCAUCUAAGCGGGAAGCGAGCCCUGAGAUGAGUCUUCCCUGAUACUUUAAGUAUCCUAAAGGGUUGUCGGAGACUACGACGUUGAUAGGUCAGGUGUGUAAGUGCUGUGAGGCAUUGAGCUAACUGAUACUAAUUGCCCGUGAGGCUUAACCAUACAACACCCAAGGGGUUU
rnacentral:rRNA from 1 species